UAAGUUGGGGAUAAGCCUUAGAAAUAGGGUCUAAUACCGAAUAGUCCCUUACGGGUAAAGCAGCAAUGCGCUUAAGGAGGAUCCUGCGGCCUAUCAGUUAGUUGGUGGGGUAAUGGCCUACCAAGACUAUGACGGGUAGCUGGUCUGAGAGGAUGAUCAGCCACAAUGGAACUGAGACACGGUCCAUACUCCUACGGGAGGCAGCAGUAAGGAAUCUUCCGCAAUGGGCGAAAGCCUGACGGAGCAACACCGCGUGGAGGAUGAAGGCGUUUUCGUCGUAAACUCCUUUUUUGAGGGAAUAAUUCUGAAGGUACCUCAAGAAUAAGCAACGGCUAACUACGUGCCAGCAGCCGCGGUAAGACGUAGGUUGCAAGCGUUAUCCGGAAUUAUUGGGCGUAAAGAGUCCGUAGGUGGUUUGUUAAGUUGGAUGUUAAAGCCCAGGGCCCAACCCUGGACUGGUGUUCAAAACUGGCAAACUUGAGACAAGUAGAGGCAAGUAGAAUUCUGCAUGUAGGGGUAAUAUCCGUAGAUAUGCAGAGGAAUACCAAAAGCGAAGGCAGCUUGCUGGACUUGUUCUGACACUCAAGGACGAAAGCGUGGGGAGCAAACGGGAUUAGAUACCCCGGUAGUCCACGCCCUAAACGAUGAACACUAGGUGUUGGGGGUCUCGACCCCUUCAGCGCCGACGCUAACGCAUUAAGUGUUCCGCCUGGGUAGUACGGCCGCAAGGUUAAAACUCAAAGGAAUAGACGGGGACCCGCACAAGCGGUGGAGCAUCUGGUUUAAUUCGAUAGUAAGCGAGGAACCUUACCACGGUUUGACAUCCCGCGAAGUCUGCCGAAAGGCGGAUGUGCCGUAAGGAACGCGGUGACAGGUGCUGCAUGGUUGUCGUCAGCUCGUGCCUUGAGGUGUUCGGUUAAGUCCGUAAACGAGCGCAACCCAUGUCCUAAGUUGCAUUUUUC
rnacentral:rRNA from 1 species